AUCUUACAUUGCUCACAUGACAAUGGCAGAGAAGGCGCCCAUCCCGGAUGCUAAAGCAUACAAAGUUCACAAGAAACUAGUAAUACAGGAAUGUGACCUAACGAGUCUGGUGCAGAAGCAGAGAAAUUAUUUUGCAAUGUGAAAGUAAAGGUGUCACAGCGCAUGGGAUUUGCUAAGGAUAAUACCCCCUUGCAACUCAAACUAUUGCUCCCAGCUACCAGGAUCAUCUGAUGAACAAAUCCAGUUUGGCACUUGUUCCAGGAAAGGAGAAUGCCUAGAGAGCACAUAAAGAAACCAUUGCUUGGAAUCUUCUCCCGAGAUGAUCGGUCCAGCUAUGAGUGGCUGAUCAACUGCCUUUUGAAAUAUUCUGCAGUCCCAGACAUCAGACCGGUGUACAUUGGCAAUAACAGUGAUGAGAACUUCCAUGAAGCAGUCCGCAAAUGCACCUUUGCCAUUCUGUAUCACACAAGGGACAGAGGGAGGAUAAACAUCACCGAUGUGAUCGACUCAAUGUACGAUGUUCAACUUGAUUCUCUGUGCACCAUCCUUGAAAAUCCAAAAAGAUUGAGAGUGUAGAAGCACCAGCAGAUUUGCAAAGCUGGACUCCAGCACUAUGGAACAGCAACACCAUGUUCCUCCAUAACCAAAGUCAUUUAUAUAAGAAGACCGAGACCCUGAAUAGCUGCACCUCAUGUAGAAUUUGCUUGAAGCUGCUCCCAUUAGUUGUUCUAAACAAAUAUAUAGCACUAGAAGAACAGGUUUUCUGCGCACAGCUAUGAAGAUGAAUUGUGGCGUGCCAAGAAUUGUCUGUAACUUGUGCCAAAACAAUGCACUCCUUCCAUAAAUGUGCACUGGUAAUGACUUCCUUAGAAAGCCUGUAUAGAAACAGGUUGCAACACGGAGGGCUCUCCAAUCUCCUCGCUAUACAUGUCUAGUAUAAAUUGUUGUAUUCUGCUUCAUCUGAAUGAUUGUCCUUGUGUGCAGGGAAAGAGAAUGUAAUUGUUGUCAUUGAUGACCUGAACGACAGCAGUUCUGCAGAGAAGUACCGCAUACUGGAGCAGCAGCCAAGUAUAGGCAAUUUGGCAAGGGACUUGUUCCUAUUCAGUACCAUAGAGAAAGAAAGGAUCCCUCUAGGUAAUGCGCAGAAGAAUGUGAUUCCUGACCCCAAAGUGGCACAUCUUGUCAAAAUAAUAAAAGAUCAUCAUCAAACCAGGAAGGAUUGCAGUGUAAAUGGCCCUUGCAAAAUUGGACUGAUAAUUGUUGUCAUUAUUUUUGUGUUUUUCAUUAUUGGAAUAAUAAUAUACGCUGCUGAGGAACAUCUGAUAUAAUGAAGCUGAAGGACACACAAAAUGAUUAUGGACUAGGGAUAGCUUGAGAAGGUGGUGUAAGCCUUUGCAAACAUCACAUAUUUGGGAUAUAAUAUAUGUAAUUUUUCAGGAUGCAGUUUUUAAUGUAGGAUAUAAUGUAAAAUAACUCAUGCUGCCCCUUCCUGUUAAAAGUUAGUUUGGCCUUGCAUCAAGCUGGCGGUUACAUCAAGCUGGCGGUUACAUCAAGCUGGCGGUUACAUCAAGCUGGCGGUUACAUCAAGCUGGCGGUUACAUCAAGCUGGCAGUUGCACAGACACAAGCCUUGGAAUAAACACCUGAACUAAGUUACUAGUUGGAAGGGACACUAUAAAAACAUGAAUGAAACAUGUGUGCCAUUAACCAGCGUGGAUGUACAUUUCUCAGUUUCAAGUCCAAAACCAAACUGGGAUUCUGGAAAUGACUCUCCAUUGUAAGUAAAUAAAACACGGAUUGCAGGCAAAUUUCUGACUCUUAGGGAUCAUUUACUAAACUAUGAAUUUAUCUGAACUGGCUUUUUGGGGAAAAAAAACAAUUUUUUUUUUAGAUUUAUUAUAAGCCAAUGCUGCAAAAAGCCGAAUCCGAAAAUUGGCCAUCUCAGACCUGUUGAGGUCAUGUAUAAGUCAAUGGGAGAGGCACCUAUCCCAAUUGGAAGUUAUCGAAGUUUGCGUUGGGUUCAGCCCCGUAAUCCUAUAAAUUCAGGGUUUUUAGGCAAAAACCCAUAAAAAAUCAAGCGAUUCGGGAAAAAAGUCAGAAAAAAACAUACGAUUCUGGUUUUCGCUCAAUUUUAUCUGGCUUUUCCUGAUCUGAUUUAUUCAAGUUAUUUUAUUAAUACAUAAGGCAAAAUCGGGCAUGGGAGUUUGGUCUAGCUUUUUUAUUUUAGUAAAUAUUUGGAUUUUAGUAAAUAACCUCCUUACUUUCUUAAUGACUGAAAGAAGAGAUUCAGCCUGGAGAUUGCAUUCAAUGAGGACUAGAGAGAGAGAGAGAGAGAGAGAGAGAGAGAGAGAGAGAGAGAGAGAGAGAGAGAGUCCUGAGAUUUAUAGAGUAAGAUGUGGCUGUGUGAUGAAGGACAAUGAGUUGAUGCCGAAAGAUAACACAAUGGAGAUGUAGACAGUAAGUAAAAUUAAGGUUAGAUGUGGAUGCUGGAAUCACAGCUAUGUAAACUAAGAAACCCACAGGACACCUAUCAAAUAUAGCACUAAAGAUACUGCAACAGGUUCAAUAAGUUCUGAUUUCAGACCCUCCCAGAACUGGCACCAGAAGUCCCCAACCAACAUGGAUGGAUCAUAGUCAUGCAAAGCUAUCGCCACACAGAGCACCGGUCGGCUGUGCCAUAUACAUCCUGGUUGUUGGCCGCUUUAUGGAUUACCCAAUAAUGUCAAAUGUUACCUAUACCCCAGGGAUAUUGUAAUAAUACUGUAAAUACUCGACUUCAUGUUCAAUAAUAAAGAACCAGUAACACAAAAA